AUUGAGCAAUAAUUUAAGUGCGAAAAAGUAUAGCAGACUAGCUUCUUGAACUUCUUCCGACAUGCUGUCAAGCAUUUUGACUGCUUGUGGAAUACCAUAUGGAUCCAUAACAGGAGUCAAACUAGAUGUGGCUUGACUCAUAUUUUCAGUUGCAUUGCAUAAGUUGUCUAUUUGGCUGGACAAUCAUGCAGCCCCUACAUAUUGCUUUGAGGAUUUCUUUCUUCCAGUUUUAAAAUGUGAACUUGAUAUCUCAAGGUUUUUUUCUUUUUUG
rnacentral:lncRNA from 1 species